CGGGGCGCGGAGGGCCGUCCCCGUUCCCUCCGGGUCCUCCGCGCACCGCGGCUCCCGGCAGCGCGAGGGCGGCCGGCCAGAGCGGUUUCAAACUUAGAAAACUGCGCUCUGAUCGCGGGAACGUACAGACUCGUGCCGCCUCGAGUCCGAUUCUCGGAGCAGGUGUCAGGCGCCCGGCUACUGCUGUGCUGUGGGCACGGCCCGUGACGGUUCUGACGAGCAGCUGGGUAGAGCUCCGGGGGCUGCAGCCACCGAGCUCAGUAACUUCCUUUAAAAGCAACAUAAACAGACUGUUUUGUGGAAGCAGAAAUGCUUGGUAGUGGUAGGACUCUGUGCGCUUGCCUAGCAUGCCAUUGCAAGGACAAUCAGCAUGGAAAACCAGGACUUUGAGCUCUGCAUCUCUGCUUGAUCUUGACUUGCUGGUUGAUACCAGGAGCUGCUUCCCAGAUCCUCUUGAUUCGGUUCGAGAAGUUAGAAUUACCUGUAAUCAUUGGUAAACCAAAAGUCCCGAAUGGAGAACAAUGACAGGCGCCCACCGAGAAGGAGAAUCCCGAGGGUCCCGUUUCGGUUACGCAGUGAGAGAGCAGAGGGUGGGAGAGAGCUUGCAAGGUCAUCUCUGUUUGGAAGCAGUUCUCUUGGCCUUUAGCCCUCCCCUCAGCAGCUGACUUCCAAAUGGAAAACAAUGCUCUGUCAUGUCUCCAUGUUAAAAUGACUGGAAAUUGAACGUAGGGGGAUUUAGCAUGUGAUUACUUUUUUUAGAUAGGAUUUUCUUCACAGCUGAAUUAGAGUGAGUCCUUUUUCUUCCAAACCAGAUGGUAGGUGAUUCAGUACUUUUAGCAGUAGAAAAACGAUUUGUUUUCAUUCCCCAGUAGCUGGUGUGAAUGUACUUUUCUUUAUCUAUUUACGGAUUAUGUAAACACGUUUUACCAGCAUUUAGGUACGUACUUUACAGGCCUAAUCCUGCAAAGAGUCCUGUGUAUGCAGUGCCCAACACAUGCGAGGGGUUGCCAUUGCUUACAGAGAACUGUAUUUGUAUUUUUAUGUGUACACUAAAAUUUAAGAUGCUUUAUGGAGAUGCGAACAGAACCAUAAGCCCACAGAACGGUUGAGUGACUUUGUGCACUUCUUUCACCUAACAAAAUCUAUGAGGUCCUUCUUGGUGUGCAGGGGGAAUAAGGGCCUCAUUCGUGUGACUUUUUGGAUUUGCCUUCUACUGAUGCAACUAGGGGGGCUCAGCACAGAAUAUCUUCUACCCUGCUGCUCUGGUAUGGGGGCAGAAAAGCAACAUUGGAAAGGGAUUCCAUUAAUAGUGAGAAAUACUUGAGAAUUUAUUAAAAAUCUCCAUUUGUGCGUGAAAGGUCACCUUCACCUGUUUGUAUGUGUGUAUAUAAAUAUAUAAUGUGAAUAC
rnacentral:lncRNA from 7 species